CCUACGGGGGGUUGCAGUGGGGAAUAUUGGACAAUGGGCGAAAGCCUGAUCCAGCCAUGCCGCGUGUGUGAAGAAGGCCUUCGGGUUGUAAAGCACUUUCAGUGGGGAAGAAAGCCUUGGGGCUAAUACCCUCGAGGAAGGACAUCACCCACAGAAGAAGCACCGGCUAACUCCGUGCCAGCAGCCGCGGUAAUACGGAGGGUGCGAGCGUUAAUCGGAAUUACUGGGCGUAAAGCGCGCGUAGGCGGUCUGAUAAGCCGGUUGUGAAAGCCCCGGGCUCAACCUGGGAACGGCAUCCGGAACUGUCAGGCUAGAGUGCAGGAGAGGAAGGUAGAAUUCCCGGUGUAGCGGUGAAAUGCGUAGAGAUCGGGAGGAAUACCAGUGGCGAAGGCGGCCUUCUGGACUGACACUGACGCUGAGGUGCGAAAGCGUGGGUAGCAAACAGGAUUAGAUACCCGGGUAGUC
rnacentral:rRNA from 1 species